UACGUAGGGUGCGAGCGUUAAUCGGAAUUACUGGGCGUAAAGCGUACGCAGGCGGCUUGGUAAGACAGAUGUGAAAUCCCCGGGCUUAACCUGGGAACUGCAUUUGUGACUGCCUGGCUCGAGUCUGUCAGAGGGGGGUGGAAUUCCACGUGUAGCAGUGAAAUGCGUAGAGAUGUGGAGGAACACCGAUGGCGAAGGCAGCCCCCUGGGAUGAGACUGACGCUCAUGUACGAAAGCGUGGGGAG
rnacentral:rRNA from 1 species